GAGUAACACGUAUCCAACCUGCCGAUGACUCGGGGAUAGCCUUUCGAAAGAAAGAUUAAUACCCGAUGGCAUAGUUCUUCCGCAUGGUAGAACUAUUAAAGAAUUUCGGUCAUCGAUGGGAUGCGUUCCAUUAGGUUGUUGGCGGGGUAACGGCCCACCAAGCCUUCGAUGGAUAGGGGUUCUGAGAGGAAGGUCCCCCACAUUGGAACUGAGACACGGUCCAGACUCCUACGGGAGGCAGCAUG
rnacentral:rRNA from 1 species